rnacentral:tRNA from 1 species
GGAGGUGUGCCCGAAUCGGCUAAGGGGCCGGUCUUGAAAACCGGUGGCACUACGUGCCUUCUGGGUUCGAGUCCCAGCACCUCCGCCA